GCCGUACAGUAGGCAUCGUUCAUGGCUCUCCAUCCAGGAUAUCACCAGACUCUGAUCUUUUUUCCUCCUUUGUGGCUGUGGUUCUCAGGACAGCAAGGUGUGUUGACUGUUGAACAUAGUCAGGGUCGCGGGGGUCUGGAGCCAAUCCCAGCUGACAUCGGGCGCAAGGCGGCGUACACCCUGGACAGUUAUGGUCGGGGCUGGUAUUUUCUUUAAUAAGCAAUGGGGGCUAGCACUGCUCAUGCUAACUACAUACUUACACCCAAUACUACCAUUUUAUACGACAUGUUAGCAGGGAUAGAUGCUUCAGAAGUGCAUACAGUCAGGCAGGUGCCUGAGCACUUCGCUGGCUCCAUCACCAUCAGCCCACACUGAAUGAUAUACUCUGUCUAGUCCAAAAUUUAGAAAUUUUCGACAUAUUGACUCUGUGAGUCAAUAUAGAGAUGUUUGUGGAGUACAGAUUCAGACACACAUAAACCCUGCACAGCAUAAACAAAUGUCUUAGAGGAAAACUGGAUUCCAGUUGCUGUGGUGCAGCCAACCAAAAUAUCCAGUGGCACUGGGCAGAUUUUCACUCACACACUGGAGUGGUGACACUUCAGGAGACUCUUAAUUUGGUUGUAGAAGGCAGAGAUGUGAGGGUCUCUGUA